CCAGAUCGCCUGAGUCCCGGUCCCAUGCUCUUAACCACUACACCACACUAGCUCUCCCAUGCUUUCCCAUGAUUAUGGUGUUUAACAGAGGAAUGAAAACAGAUCAUAAGCCAAGGAUGUUUACAGCUUCAUCAGUGGCUGACAUUUCCUUGAAUUGAACUUGGCAAGGAGCAAGGACAGAAACUGGCACGCAUGAAAGCAUUAUGUACCAGGUUAUACUUUUGAGCUUCUGUGGCAAAUUCUUUGAUAAAGGGAAAUGAGGGAUGAAAGAGCAGCCCUAUCACCUUUGUGUUGCUCAUACUGGAACAACAACAGGAGCAAGAGAAAGCAGUCCCAUCCCUUUGUAUUCUAUAUUCUGAGGCUUUUUAUGAAUAGGACGGCAUAUAAAUAUGUUAAAUAAUUAAAUAAAUAAAUA